rnacentral:rRNA from 1 species
UACGAAGGGGGCUAGCGUUGUUCGGAAUUACUGGGCGUAAAGGGCGCGUAGGCGGUGUGUCAAGUCAGGCGUGAAAGCCCCGGGCUCAACCUGGGAACCGCGCUUGAGACUGGCACGCUAGAGUUCGGGAGAGGAUGGUGGAAUUCCCAGUGUAGAGGUGAAAUUCGUAGAUAUUGGGAAGAACACCGAUGGCGAAGGCAGCCAUCUGGACCGACACUGACGCUGAGGCGCGACAGCGUGGGGAUCAAACAGG